UGGAUUGCUCAGAGGGAGCUGUCGGUCACGGGCGGAGCGCGCGCGCCGAUUGGGUUCCCCCCGCCGCCCGCUGCAUCAAGCCGGGAUGAUGCAACUCGGCUGGAAGCUUUCGAGCAAAGGAGGCAGAUGGUUGAAUUGAGCUAAUGGAGCAACAAGAUCACCCUGGACAACUCAUUCCCAGGACGGAGCCUUUGCAUCAGGCUUCAUGGAUCGGCAGGGGCUUUCCCAGCAUCUGGCAAGGUUGGGCAGUAGUCCAUGGAUGUCUGAAGGGCCCCCAAGACAAGUUCUGGUUUUAGUACCAGAUUGGAUCUCUCUCCCUUCUGCUGUCUGAGUGGGUUUCUUGUGAAAGCAUCACAAACAAUGCCCUUUUACCGGGAGAGAAAUAAAAAGCUUGGAGACAGCAUUUCACUGCCUUCAGGCUGAGGUUCCUAUCCUAUGUGAGGGUUUGCUUCACUUCUGUUCUUGCUUGAUCACUGGUCCUCAAUGGGAAAGGACUGUGAGAAUUAGCAAAAGGUAGGGCAAAGAGGAGGAGCAGGGGCAAAUCCUUGACUACAUCUUGCACACAGAAACCUGACACUGGUCUUGGAGAUUGGAGAUCCUAUUUCAGCACCAGAGGCUUCUGCAUAAAUUGGCCCCCUGCACAGCUGCCCAGACACCAGGGAUGAUUGCAGAAGCAACAAGGGUCACACAGUCUGUUGGUACCAGAGUGUCCUGGAAUAAAGGAAACUGCCUUUUCAAAUA